rnacentral:rRNA from 1 species
CAAUAGCGUAUAUUAAAGUUGUUGCAGUUAAAAGCUCGUAGUUGGAUAUCUGGUAGGAGCGUGCAAAUCCCUACUAAGUGGGGAUAUCUGUGUUGUCUCCGGCCAUCCUUGGGUGGAAGCUAUUUGGCAUUAAGUUGUUGAGUAGUUGAUGCCCAUCAUUUACUGUGAAAAAUAGAGUGUUCAAAGCAGGCUUAUGCCAUUGAAUAUAUUAGCAUGGAAUAAUAAGAUAGGACUUUGGUACUAUUUUGUUGGUUUGUGUACCAUUGUAAUGAUUAAUAGGGACAGUUGGGGGUAUUCGUAUUCAGUUGUCAGAGGUGAAAUUCUUGGAUUUACGGAAGACGAACUACUGCGAAAGCAUUUACCAAGGAUGUUUUCAUUAAUCAAGAACGAAAGUAUGGGGAUCGAAGACGAUCAGAUACCGU